rnacentral:rRNA from 1 species
AUUGAACGCUGGCGGCAGGCCUAACACAUGCAAGUCGAACGAGUGGCGGACGGGUGAGUAAUGUCUGGGGACCUGCCUGCUGGAGGGGGAUAACUACUGGAAACGGUAGCUAAUACUGCAUACCAUCAGAUGUGCCCAGAUGGGAUUAGCUUGUUGGUUGGGUAACGGCUUACCAAGGCGACGAUCCCUAGCUGGUCUGAGAGGAUGACCAGCCACACUGGAACUGAGACACGGCCCAGACUCCUACGGGAGGCAGCAGUGGGGAAUAUUGCACAAUGGGCGCAAGCCUGAUGCAGCCAUGCCGCGUGUAUGAAGAAGGCCUUCGGGUUGUAAAGUACUUUCAGCCGGGAGGCGUUACCGGCAGAAGAAGCACCGGCUAACUCCGUGCCAGCAGCCGCGGUAAUUC